GCCCUCACCAGAGGAGGAGCUUGCGCCCCAUUAGCUAAUUGGUGAGGUCAUGGCUCACCAAGGCUCCGAUGGGUAGCCGGUCUGAGAGGGUUUACGGCCACACUGUAACUGAGACACGGUCCAGACUCCUACGGGAGUGCAGCAGUGGGGAAUAUUGGUCAAUGCGCGCGAAAACCUGAACCAGCAAUGGCGUGUGGGUGACGAAGCUUCUAGGAGUGUCAAACCCUUUUCUGAGGGAAGAACGAACUGCGGUUCAUAUACUGUAUUACUUGACGGUACCUCAUGAAUAAGCCCCGGGCUAACUCCGAGCCAGCAGCCGCGGUAUCACGGAGGGGUGCAAGCGUUCGUUCGGAUUUACUCGGGCGUCUCCGGGCGUUGUAUGCGGGCCUAGCAGGUCGCGAUGUGAAAUCCCCGGGCUCCACUCGGGAACUGCAUUUGAAACCGUUAGGCUUGAGGCUCGGAUAGAAAGCGGAAUUCCUGGUGUAGCGGUGCAACUGCGUAGAUAUCAGGAGGAACACACGGUGGCGAAAUCGGCUUUCUGGACUAGUUCUGACGCUGAGGCGCGAAAGCGUGGGGAGCGAACGGGAUUAGAUACCCCGGUAGUCCACGCUGUAUACGAUGAGCACUAGGUGUAGCGGCUAUCGACCCCUGCUGUGCCGCAGCUUACGCAAUAAGUGCUCCGCUUGGGGAUUACGCACGCAAGUGUGAUACUCAAAGGUAUUGACGGGGCCCCGCACAAUCGCUGGAGUAUCUGGUUUAAUUCGAUGCAACGCGAAGAACCUUACCAGGGCUUGACAUCUUGCUGCUAGGAAGCCGUAAGGUAACCGACCCUUCGGGGAGCCUUCACAGGUGCUGCAUGGCUGUCGUCAGCUCUUGUCGUGAGAUGUUGGGUUAAGUCCCGCAACGCGCGCAACCCCUACCCUUAGUUGCCAUCAGUUCGGCUGGGACUCUAGGGAACUGCCGGUGACAAACCGGAGGAGGUGGGGAUGACGUCAAGUCCUCACUGGCCACUUAUGUCCUGGGCUACACACGUACUACAAUGGU
rnacentral:rRNA from 1 species